UACGUAGGGUGCAAGCGUUGUCCGGAAUUAUUGGGCGUAAAGAGCUCGUAGGCGGUUUGUCGCGUCUGCUGUGAAAACUCGGGGCUUAACUCCGGGCCUGCAGUGGGUACGGGCAGACUAGAGUGCGGUAGGGGAGACUGGAAUUCCUGGUGUAGCGGUGAAAUGCGUUGAUAUCCACAGGAACUCCGGUGGCGAAGGCGGCACGCUGGACCCGCCCCUGACGCUGAGGCGCGAAAGCCAGGGGAGCGAACGGG
rnacentral:rRNA from 1 species